rnacentral:rRNA from 1 species
UACGUAGGGUGCAAGCGUUAAUCGGAAUUACUGGGCGUAAAGCGUGCGCAGGCGGUGAUGUAAGACAGUUGUGAAAUCCCCGGGCUCAACCUGGGAACUGCAUCUGUGACUGCAUUGCUGGAGUGCGGCAGAGGGGGAUGGAAUUCCGCGUGUAGCAGGUGAAAUGCGUAGAUAUGCGGAGGAACACCGAUGGCGAAGGCAAUCCCCUGGGCCUGCACUGACGCUCAUGCACGAAAGCGUGGGGAGCAAACGGG